rnacentral:rRNA from 1 species
ACGCUGGCGGAUGCUUUACACAUGCAAGUCGAACGGCAGCAUAGAGAGCUUGCUCUCUGAUGGCGAGUGGCGAACGGGUGAGUAAUAUAUCGGAACGUACCUAGUAAUGGGGAACAACUAGCCGAAAGGUUAGCUAAUACCGCAUACGACCUACGGGUGAAAGCAGGGGAUCUUCGGACCUUGCGUUAUUAGAGCGGCCGAUAUCUGAUUAGGUAGUUGGUGGGGUAAAAGCCUACCAAGCCAACGAUCAGUAGCUGGUCUGAGAGGACGAUCAGCCACACUGGAACUGAGACACGGUCCAGACUCCUACGGGAGGCAGCAGUGGGGAAUUUUGGACAAUGGGGGCAACCCUGAUCCAGCCAUUCCGCGUGAGUGAAGAAGGCCUUCGGGUUGUAAAGCUCUUUCACAAGAGAAGAAAUCUUACUAUCAAAUAAAUAGUAAGGAUGACGGUAUCUUGAGAAGAAGCACCGGCUAACUACGUGCCAGCAGCCGCGGUAAUACGUAGGGUGCGAGCGUUAAUCGGAAUUACUGGGCGUAAAGCGUGCGCAGGCGGUUUUAUAAGUCAGAUGUGAAAUCCCCGAGCUCAACUUGGGAACUGCGUUUAAAACUGUAAGACUAGAGUGUGUCAGAGGGGGGUAGAAUUCCAUGUGUAGCAGUGAAAUGCGUAGAUAUAUGGAGGAAUACCAAUGGCGAAGGCAGCCCCCUGGGAUAACACUGACGCUCAUGCACGAAAGCGUGGGGAGCAAACAGGAUUAGAUACCCUGGUAGUCCACGCCCUAAACGAUGUCUACUAGUU